rnacentral:rRNA from 1 species
GACGAACGCUGGCGGCGUGCCUAACACAUGCAAGUCGAGCGAGUGGAUUUCCUUCGGGAUUGAAGCUAGCGGCGGACGGGUGAGUAACACGUGGGCAACCUGCCUCAUAGAGGGGAAUAGCCUCCCGAAAGGGAGAUUAAUACCGCAUAAGAUUGUAACUUCGCAUGAAGUAGCAAUUAAAGGAGCAAUCCGCUAUGAGAUGGGCCCGCGGCGCAUUAGCUAGUUGGUGAGGUAACGGCUCACCAAGGCGACGAUGCGUAGCCGACCUGAGAGGGUGAUCGGCCAUAUUGGGACUGAGACACGGCCCAGACUCCUACGGGAGGCAGCAGUGGGGAAUAUUGCACAAUGGGGGAAACCCUGAUGCAGCAACGCCGCGUGAGUGAUGACGGCCUUCGGGUUGUAAAGCUCUGUCUUCAGGGACGAUAAUGACGGUACCUGAGGAGGAAGCCACGGCUAACUACGUGCCAGCCGCCGCAGAAACAC